AUUGAACGCUGGCGGCAUGCCUUACACAUGCAAGUCGAACGCGAAAGCGGAGCAAUCCGCAAGUAGAGUGGCGAACGGGUGAGUAAUAUAUCGGAACAUUUCCAGUAGCGGGGGAUAACCUGUCGAAAGAUAGGCUAAUACCGCAUACGCCCCACGGGGGAAAGCGGAGGACCGCAAGGCUUCGCACUAUUGGAGUGGCCGAUAUCGGAUUAGCUAGUUGGCGGGGUAAAAGCCCACCAAGGCGACGAUCCGUAGCUGGUCUGAGAGGACGAUCAGCCACACUGGAACUGAGACACGGUCCAGACUCCUACGGGAGGCAGCAGUGGGGAAUUUUGGACAAUGGGCGAAAGCCUGAUCCAGCCAUGCCGCGUGAGUGAAGAAGGCCUUCGGGUUGUAAAGCUCUUUCGGUGGGGAAGAAAAGGUACGUGCUAAUACCACGGACUAAUGACGGUACCCGAAGAAGAAGCACCGGCUAACUACGUGCCAGCAGCCGCGGUAAUACGUAGGGUGCAGGCGUUAAUCGGAAUUACUGGGCGUAAAGCGUGCGCAGGCGGUUUGUUAAGACAGAUGUGAAAUCCCCGGGCUUAACCUGGGAACUGCGUUUGUAACUGGCAAGCUAGAGUGUGGCAGAGGGGGGUAGAAUUCCAGGUGUAGCAGUGAAAUGCGUAGAUAUCUGGAGGAAUCCCCAUGGCGAAGGCAGCCCCCUGGGUCAACAC
rnacentral:rRNA from 1 species